CGCAGAGUAGAGAUCCGAGCGGUAAGUGUCCUCGAACGGGGAGUUGACGAGGAACGAAGCUGAGAGCCUCAGCGCGGUUCGGAUCCCGCAUCCCGCUGCG
rnacentral:ncRNA from 24 species